rnacentral:misc_RNA from 1 species
GAGAAGAACGCAGCAAAAUGCGAUACGUAAUGUGAAUUGCAGAAUUCAGUGAAUCAUCGAGUCUUUGAACGCACAUUGCGCCCCCUGGUAUUCCGGGGGGCAUGCCUGUCCGAGCGUCAUUGCUGCCCUCAAGCACGGCUUGUGUGUUGGGCCUCCGUCCUCCUCCCGGGGGACGGGCCCGAAAGGCAGCGGCGGCACCGCGUCCGGUCCUCGAGCGUAUGGGGCUUCGUCACCCGCUCUUGUAGGCCCGGCCGGCGCUUGCCGACACAUCAAUCUUUUUUCCAGGUUGACCUCGGAUCAGGUAGGGAUACCCGCUGAACUUAAGCAUAUCAAUAAGCGGAGGA